GACGAACGUUGGCGGCGUGCUUAACACAUGCAAGUCGAACGGAAAGGCCCUGCUUUUGUGGGGUGCUCGAGUGGCGAACGGGUGAGUAACACGUGAGUAACCUGCCCUUGACUUUGGGAUAACUUCAGGAAACUGGGGCUAAUACCGGAUAGGAGCUCCUGCUGCAUGGUGGGGGUUGGAAAGUUUCGGCGGUUGGGGAUGGACUCGCGGCUUAUCAGCUUGUUGGUGGGGUAGUGGCUUACCAAGGCUUUGACGGGUAGCCGGCCUGAGAGGGUGACCGGCCACAUUGGGACUGAGAUACGGCCCAGACUCCUACGGGAGGCAGCAGUGGGGAAUAUUGCACAAUGGGCGGAAGUCUGAUGCAGCAACGCCGCGUGCGGGAUGACGGCCUUCGGGUUGUAAACCGCUUUCGCCUGUGACGAAGCGUGAGUGACGGUAAUGGGUAAAGAAGCACCGGCUAACUACGUGCCAGCAGCCGCGGUGAUACGUAGGGUGCGAGCGUUGUCCGGAUUUAUUGGGCGUAAAGGGCUCGUAGGUGGUUGAUCGCGUCGGAAGUGUAAUCUUGGGGCUUAACCCUGAGCGUGCUUUCGAUACGGGUUGACUUGAGGAAGGUAGGGGAGAAUGGAAUUCCUGGUGGAGCGGUGGAAUGCGCAGAUAUCAGGAGGAACACCAGUGGCGAAGGCGGUUCUCUGGGCCUUUCCUGACGCUGAGGAGCGAAAGCGUGGGGAGCGAACAGGCUUAGAUACCCUGGUAGUCCACGCUGUAAACGGUGGGUACUAGGUGUGGGGUCCAUUCCACGGGUUCCGUGCCGUAGCUAACGCUUUGAGUACCCCGCCUGGGGAGUACGGCCGCAAGGCUAAAACUCAAAGGAAUUGACGGGGCCCCGCACAAGCGGCGGAGCAUGCGGAUUAAUUCGAUGCAACGCGUAGAACCUUACCUGGGUUUGACAUGGAUCGGGAGUGCUCAGAGAUGGGUGUGCCUCUUUUGGGGUCGGUUCACAGGUGGUGCAUGGCUGUCGUCAGCUCGUGUCGUGAGAUGUUGGGUUAAGUCCCGCAACGAGCGCAACCCUUGUUCACUGUUGCCAGCACGUUAUGGUGGGGACUCAGUGGAGACCGCCGGGGUCAACUCGGAGGAAGGUGGGGAUGACGUCAAGUCAUCAUGCCCCUUAUGUCCAGGGCUUCACGCAUGCUACAAUGGCUGGUACAGAGAGUGGCGAGCCUGUGAGGGUGAGCGAAUCUCGGAAAGCCGGUUUCAGUUCGGAUUGGGGUCUGCAACUCGACCUCAUGAAGUCGGAGUCGCUAGUAAUCGCAGAUCAGCAACGCUGCGGUGAAUACGUUCCCGGGGCU
rnacentral:rRNA from 1 species